GAGCAUCCUUAGUAAACCCCCCAGUUACUCUCUGUGAUCUCUGGGACAAGAAAGGGUGCAAGAUCAAGUUUAGAGUCAUCCAAAGCUGAGGGCCAUGUGUCAGUUGCUCUUGGUUAUUUCAGCUCUAGGACACAAU